GCCCCUUAUGACCUGGGCUACACACGUGCUACAAUGGUUGGUACAACGAGUUGCGAGUCGGUGACGGCGAGCUAAUCUCUUAAGCCAAUCUCAGUUCGGAUUGUAGGCUGCCAACUCGCCUACAUGAAGUCGGAAUCGCUAGUAAUCGCGGAUCAGCACGCCGCGGUGAAUACGUUCCCGGGCCUU
rnacentral:rRNA from 1 species